CGCGGAGGUAGCUUCCUUCUCAGUACAGACCGCAUACUAGUCAGCGGCCGCCAUUGUCGGGUCGAAGAGCGGCUGUGGGGAGAGCCCGUAAAGGCGGCGAGCGGCGCUGGGGGAGGCGGCGGCCGACGCAAGCAGUGCACACAAAAUGGAAUCAAAGCCAUCAAGAAUUCCACGGAGGCUAUCUGUUCAACCAUCUGGUUCUCGAAGUGCUAGGAUAGGAACUGGAAGUGGUGGAACAAGUUUAACUGAUUCAUACCAUACAAGAGAGUCUUCAUUAAGACUUGAUUCUGGACGCCAGGAAUCUAGCAGGUUGCAUAGUUCUAGUAGAGACUGGUCAGUUGAAGAACGAGAAGCAUAUGACAGUUCAUGGAAGCUUCCAGCUUCUUCUCCAACUCACUACUCAGGGACACUUGAUCGUCCGUGGUCUGGAAGAUUUUUGGGAAGCAGAAAUAGAUUGGUUACAUCAUCAUCAUCACUUUCUGCAUCAUCUUGGUUGGGUGAAUCUGAAAGAUCUCAGGGAGCAUAUUCUUCAAGACUGCAUAACCAACAACAAGACAUUGAUUCAAAAAGACCUAAACUUUCUUAUACAUCUACCUCUAGUAUGAGAAGUAGUGGUUUAAGCACAGUUUCAGAUUCCCCAUGGAGGUACAGUGAUGUGCCCAGAUCUUCAUCUAUGGUACUUGGAUCAUUAACAACUGGACUUGUGAGAGAGAGAAGAGAGCUAGAAAGGACAGAGCCAUCUGUUAGUUUUGUGGAUUGUAGUCAAAGGAAUGGUGAUUUCCCUCCAUCAGCAUAUUUGCAGGAAAGACCUGCUUCUUCAUAUGCACAGGGAGCUAGACCAAAGGAAAACUCAUUGAGUUCUUUAAGGCUGAACACAUCCAUGAACCACCAGUUGCCUUCUGAACAUGAAUCUUCAUUACUUUCUAGAGAGCGUAGCUGGAAUUCAAGAUCUAACUAUGUCCCAAGAGAAGUAGAGACUUCUGAAAUGAAUAUACAGCCAGAGUUUACCCAUGAUACCAUGAGAAGUGGAACCAGAACCUCAAACCAUUCUGAAGGGAUUUUGCCAACCCAAAGGUCAUUAAGUGAGCCUUCUGCUGAUACUGAAGGAAGGCGUUCAACAAGGCAGUUACUAUCUCGCCUGGCAUCUAGUAUGUCCUCCACUUUUUUCCCAAGAAGGUCUGGCCAGGACUCUUUGACGUCUUCAAGAUCAUUAGGUUCUAGAGAUAUAAGUGUUCUAAGAGCUCAAGCUUCUGCCCAGGCUACUACUUCUAACACACUUACAACUUCGGAAGGUACAGAAGCUCAAACACCUGAUCCUGGUCCUCAGGGAUUUAGCUUCCUUAGAAGACGCUGGGGUUUGGCAGGUGUUUCACCAAAUCCUAAUGCUGAGUCAGAACCUGGAAAUUACAGACAUCAUUCUGAAAGUAGAAAUGCAGGUUCUUGGCUGUCAUCUUCUUUGAGAAACAGAUGUACACCUUUGUUUUCAAGAAGGAGAAGAGAAGGAAGAGAUGAAACGGCAAGAACUUCUACCUCUGAAACAUCUGCUAGGUCACUGCAUCUUUUUAGGAGAAGAGAAUCUGCUGGGGAUGUACCUCUUGAAGCACAAAGGGAAUCCCUCAGGCCCAGGCCAUCAAUACCUGCAGUACCCAGUGGUACUACAUCUGCUGCUUCGGGGUCAGAGUCAGUGCCUCCUAGAAGAAAUCCAGGAAUAUCAGGAAUGUUUCCUGGCUCUCUCUUUCGGUUUGCAAUGCCACCAACUUUGGGAAACAACUUGUCCGACAAUGUUAUGAUAACUGUAGAUAUUAUUCCAUCAAGCUGGAAUCAGUCAAAUGGACAAGAUAGUGACAAAUCAAAAAUACCACCUUCAAGAGAUCCAGAAAAGCUACAGAAAAUUAAAGAGAGUCUUCUUUCAGAAGACUCAGAAGAAGAGGAAGAAGACUUAUGUAGGAUUUGUCAAAUGUCCUCUACAUCUGCCACUAAUCUCUUAAUUGAGCCAUGUAAAUGUGCUGGAAGUCUGCAGUAUGUUCACCAGGAAUGUAUGAAAAAGUGGCUACAAUCCAAGAUUAACUCAGGUACUUCAUUGGAAGACGUAACUACCUGUGAAUUGUGCAAAGAGAAGCUUCAGCUCAAUCUUGACAAUUUUGAUAUCCAUGAACUCCAUAGAGCACAUGCAAAUGAACAAGUUAGUAUAUUUUGGCUAAUUUGGCAGACUAUGAAUUUAUCAGUUCUGGGCUUUACCUUGUAGUAUUGUUGCAUUUGUGUGAACAGCGCUUUUCAGAUAUGCUGGGAACUACAAGUGAGGCCAACACACGUAUCCGGUUUAUUAAUCUUGCAAGAACUCUUCAGGCACACAUGGAUGAUAUGGAAACAGCUUCAGAUGAUGAUGAUGAUGAUUCUGAAGAUGGUGAUCUCGAUAGGACCUUUGAUGCUGCAUAGAUGGUGUGGAAGGGCUAAAUGCUCAGCUGACACAAGUAUCACCAGUGCACAUUUAUUUAGUACACCAUGCUGAAUUUAUUAGAUUUCUGAAGAACUGCUGAGUCAAACAGAAAAUCUGCUAUCCAUAGAUAAUGGAUAUUGUUCAUUCAGUCUGCAAGAGUAUCUUUCUUCUUUCAGAGUAUGACGAUGUAUGCCUUCUUCUCAAGGGUGUGAUUUUUAUCUGUAAGGAAGAGUUCUUUUUGUAUAAACUUCUUACAGAAAUUGGUUAUAAAUUCUGGGAAAUGUUUCUCAUGUUUUGCUCUUCUGCCGGCACUAAGUGGAACUGUUAAAUGAGUUUGCAAGUUCAAGUCACUGGGAAGAGAGGGGAUAAUUCUUAGUUAACUUACCACUUAAAAAUAUAUAUUGGGAAAUCUCACCAUUUUGGUUCCAGUGUUAACACCUAGAUUGAAUGAGGGAGUGAAUGGAUUCUGUAAUUAGUUUUAAGUUUCUCUGGAGGAGUGUUUAACUCAAAGCAAUAAACUUGCAAGGGGCUACUAAUAAGUGUUAAUUAAGGCUUUUAUAAGUAUUGAUUUCAAAACUGCAGAUUAUAUUUGAUAAUAUUAUGUACAAGUUCCAAUAAGGAAUUACAGCAGUAGACACAAGCAUUUCAGCAUUCCUGGAAGGAAUAAAACUUAUGGUUUAAAAUCUUAACCAAGCUAUUUAUCUGAAUGAACAUUUUUUUAGAACCCACAUUCACUAAGGCACUGGUUAUCAAUGUGUUUUCUAGUGUUGUCACUUGUUUGUUAAAUAAAGAUUGCAAUCCUA